rnacentral:rRNA from 1 species
UACGGAGGGUGCAAGCGUUAUCCGGAUUCACUGGGUUUAAAGGGUGCGUAGGAGGGCAGGUAAGUCAGUGGUGAAAUCUCCGGGCUUAACUCGGAAACUGCCGUUGAUACUAUCUGUCUUGAAUACCGUGGAGAUGAGCGGAAUAUGUCAUGUAGCGGUGAAAUGCUUAGAUAUGACAUAGAACACCAAUUGCGAAGGCAGCUCACUACGCGAAUAUUGACACUGAGGCACGAAAGCGUGGGGAUCAAACAGG